GAGGUGCUCUGCCAACCAUAUGAUACACAUGCAAUGCAGAACACCGAGGAAUUCUGAUUCCGCGUCUCGUGAGUCCGAAUCCGAAGAGCGAAACAGCGAGCCAGGCGACUCUGAACAUCCCCGCGCGCGUGGCGUGGCGGCGUGGGGCAGGCACAGCCAACUGCGUUCGGUGACUGGCAUCAUCGUGUAUAUAAGUAGGCGCGCUCCCUGACCGGCUGGAAGCACAGCAGCACCACCACACCACACGAUCGCCCUCAACACGGGAGCUAGAAGCUACACGGAUUAAGUAAGGUCUGUGCUUAAAGACUCGAUUGGUUAGGACUUGGGAGUAAGCUACUAGCUAGAAGCUCCAGUAGUCGAUCGACAACAAUGGCCAACUUCGCUGCUCAGAUUAAGGACAAGUUCCUCGGCCUCGUCGACCGUGUCGCCGGCCGCGGCCGCGCCGGAGGCGGCAAGGACGACGUACAGGAGCCCACUACUAAGCUGCACACCGUCCAGCGUGUCGAGGUUAGGUCGCGAGGCCGAGCAGCAGAGCCCGUCGUGGACGGAGGAUCGACGGCGGGGCCCAACUAAUGCCGCGCGCCCGGUUCGUAGCGCAGCAGACUGCGCGAUAGAUGAGACUGCUAGUGUUCUGAAAUCUGAAUGUUUUGGUUGAAAGACAUCUCUUUUAUCUGGUAGCUGGUGCAACUAGCUGUUAUGGACUUAUGGGUACGAGUAGUUUUCGUGGUAACAUGUGUAACCGCGUGAGAUUAAUAAAAGCAUAUCAAUAAAUUUGUGCUUUCGAUUUGUCACUA